GGACUGACUAAACCAAUCCCUCCUGCAUCUUCGAUGAUCAAAUUGCCUUGGGGACACUAAGAAUAACGUGCACAGAAAAGCAUGGUGUGCUCAUUAGAUGAAAAGGAGUCUGUGACUGGUUUACUGGUGAAUUAUAAUGCCCUUCUCUCACCUGCCCUUGCUCUGUGUAGCUGCUUCUGGAAAGGCAAGUCAAAGGAGGGUGCUGUGAUGAGAAGCCAAUGGGGUGGCUAUUCCAGAGGUUACUGCCUGAUCUGCAGCCAUGUCCCCUAGGGCUUUGGUCUUGACACAUCUUUAAAAAUAAGCAGGACAGAGGAUGUGGACAAGCAAAUCAGUUACACAGAACCAAAUAAAGUUUCAGAAGCACCACCACCAUCCCAUGGAUCUUCUUGCAUCUCAGAACCUUGCUUUUACCAUGUACCAGGGAAUAAGGAAACGGAAGCAUCCAUGAUGCUUCAUAAUCUUCAGCAAGUAAGGACAAGGCUCAGA